rnacentral:rRNA from 1 species
GAUGAACGCUGGCGGCGUGCCUAAUACAUGCAAGUCGAGCGAACGGACGAGAAGCUUGCUUCUCUGAUGUUAGCGGCGGACGGGUGAGUAGCACGUGGAUAACCUACCUAUAAGACUGGGAUAACUUCGGGAAACCGUAGCUAAUACCGGAUAAUAUUUUGAACCGCAUGGUUCAAAAGUGAAAGACGGUCUUGCUGUCACUUAUAGAUGGAUCCGCGCUGCAUUAGCUAGUUGGUAAGGUAACGGCUUACCAAGGCAACGAUGCAUAGCCGACCUGAGAGGGUGAUCGGCCACACUGGAACUGAGACACGGUCCAGACUCCUACGGGAGGCAGCAGUAGGGAAUCUUCCGCAAUGGGCGAAAGCCUGACGGAGCAACGCCGCGUGAGUGAUGAAGGUCUUCGGAUCGUAAAACUCUGUUAUUAGGGAAGAACAUAUGUGUAAGUAACUGUGCACAUCUUGACGGUACCUAAUCAGAAAGCCACGGCUAACUACGCG